GAGAGAGAGAGAGAGAGGGGAAAAGAAAAAAAAACAACUAAAGCAAGAGUGUUUGUUUGGUCCCUGAAAUUAUUCCCAACAAAUUUAAGACCAAGUUGUUACAGAUAUAGACCAAACAAAUGUAAUCAACUGAUUAACAGGAGUGGAUCUAAUUCUCAUCUAAAUUUUUCAUUGCACUAACAGUUGAGUAUAUUUUGAAACCUUUAUUUGUAUUUCUGAGGAAAGUUGUGUUACUUGUGUAUGUCCAGAAACACUAGAAUUUUUCUGAAAUUGAAAUGCAGAGCCCUUUCCAAGAGGGAUGAUGCUCAGAAAACUAUGGUAUUUUGCAGUUUUUGCAGUAAUUUGGACCAUUUGCUUAGAGAAAAAAAUGCUCAGGUCUUUCAAAAUCAGUGUUUAUUUUGCAUCGCUAAAGGAUAAAGCAGCUUUACUGGCCUCACGGGUGUCCACUUCAAGCAGUUUUAAUGGAGUGCCUUUAACUGAUAAUUCAGCAAUUAGAGGCUGCUACUUCAUUAGUUUUACUUUUGCGGUGAACUAUUUUGGUUUCAUCGAGAGGAGGGUAUCUUAUCCUCCAAUUUGAAUCUCUUCUUUCUUCAUUACUUAGAUCUCCACUCAUCCAAAUAAAAAGAUAAGAAGACCACAUGGUGGGCAAGCCUCCAUUACGGAGAUCAAUUAAUCAUACAAAAAAACAAAAAAAAGGUGUCUAUGCAUAUAGUCACUUUGCUUAAUUUCUUUCUUUUCGUUUCUUAAUAAAUUAUUUUCAAUAUGAAACAAAUUGCGUGUGUGUGUGUGUUCGUGAUGUGUAUAUAUUGGUUUUAGCAUGCAUGUGCAUGUGUGUGUCAGUGUGUGCAGUCAAAUAAGUAUGUUUUCCUCCAACCUGUAACGAGGGAACUUAAAAAUCUGCAUCAUGCCAGUAAGAAGAGUCG
rnacentral:misc_RNA from 1 species